rnacentral:misc_RNA from 1 species
GGAAGUAAAAGUCGUAAUAAGGUUUCCGUAGGUGAACCUGCGGAAGGAUCAUUAUUGUAUAACCGAGGUGCGAGGGCUGUCGCUGACCCGAAAGGUCGUGCACGCCCGAGUGCCCUCACACACAUCCAUCUCACCCCUAUGUGCACCACCGCGUGGGUCCCCCUUUGGCUUGUUCGGAGGGGGGCUUACGUUUUCACACAAACUUUGUAUGCAGUGUAGAAUGUAUUUUUUGUUUUUGCGAUCACGCAAUCAAUACAACUCUCAACAACGGAUCUCUUGGCUCUC